GUUUAUUUUUUCUGAUUUAUGCAUUUCUGAUUGUUAGAUCCGCUGUCCUAAGGGGUUGCUGCUCCUGGAGAAAAAACAGAGCUCUUUGUUGGAAAUAUGCCAUAGAGGCAAUAAUAUUCUAUUAUUAUAUUUUCAUUUCAUAAUUAAAGUGUUUAUAUUCUAUUCUGCAUAUGCUAUGAUCCUGAAUACGCGAUUUAGUGGAAAACGCAUAUGCACGUGUGGAAUGAUAAAUGGUAGCAUAAAAGGUUCAAAGUUUUGCCUCUAUGACUAGCUCAAGUGUUGUUGGGAUCACAUUUUUCGGAUCUUAGGAUAUCGUUAAGUGUAAACGAUAGUUCUAAAACAACAAUGAGAUUAUGACGUUGGAAGAACGAUCAUAUUGAAUCGACCCAAACUUGUCUGUUAUGAAUUGAGUUUAUAUCGUCUGUAAUAAAUUUAUAAUAGCUAAAUAGUUCAUCCCCACUAUGCUAAUUCUUUUGGCAUGCAACCUAUCCACAUCACCAAUCAACAUGCAACCAUCCCCUAAGCAAAAUCUGCCACCUCAUCAAAGAAAAAACAUGAAACAAUAUGCCCACGUCUUCCGUUCAGUUACCAGCGCAUAGGUCGGACUACUCCUCUCCCGAACUUUUUUUCUUGGACUCCUCUCCUGAUCUGUAAUGGAUGUUCUCUCCCCUUCCCCUCCACACCAGUUUAUUUCGGUUCUUUAAUUCUUCGGUUGUUUCCUCAACUUUUAAUCUCCUCCUGCGAGCCCCUCUCAAUCGGUGAUCCACUUUAAAAUCUUGGCAGCCAAAGACAGACGAAGAAGGGAGAUGGAUCUCAUCUGUAGUUUGUCCUCCCCAUCACUCACCUGCACUCCACCAAGAACAAACGAAAAAGGGGAGAUGGAUAUCACGUGCCUUGGCUGGCCAGUACCGUAUGAUGUCGUCGUGGUGCAGGACCGAGGGCUGUGGGAUGGGGGCAUCUCCUUCUUCCCCGGCGCUCUUCUUGCCUUCUUAUUGCACCAGAUCGAGGAAAGAUUUAGAUCGACUUGUUGUUGUUUCAUGCCACCACGUUUGGGCCUCGCCUGGUUGCCGAGCAAAUUCUCCUCCGCACUGCACUUGUGCAUCAUACUAGGUUGUUCCCAUGGUCAUGGUGAAUGCCUCCUGUCUCACACUAGAAGACAUUGGUGAAAACUUGGGCAAGGCUGUGCAGGCGGCAAACUCCGUUCUCCGGGAAGGGGUGGCCAACAGGUGGAUCGUACAAGAUUAUCCUAUCAGAAUUGUACAUAACUGCUUGCAAAGGAAAAUCUUACGUCUUGCGCAACCGGAAUCUCGGUAUGUCUUUGCACGAUUCUUCUCUAGGAUUCCUUUAGAUGAACCAUGGUACACAUUAAUGUAUAUAGCACAUUUCAGUUAUCAAACCUGCAUCCAUAUUAUGCCUAUAAAUCUAGUCCAGUCUAUGCUUUUGCUGAAAUUCGAGUGCUUGCUACCAUUUGUACUCGCGAACUUUCCUCCGGUCUGGUAUGUUGAGUGUGUUGGAAUCCAACAUGGUUGGUCAGGUCGCCAAACAUUGUCUUCAAAGGGUUAGACAUGAUGUCGUUCCACAUGGUCAUGUAUAUAUCACUCAACCAUAAUAUAUUCUCUGCAUAUGACAAUAUCGCAUGAAUUAACCCAUACAGUGUAUUAAUGUUCAUUUAGUAGUGUGUACCAAUUGUAGUUUACUAGACGUUUGCAAAUCCCCCUUCCUCUCCCCACCACCCAUUGUGGUGUAUUCUAACACAUACGAAUCCUGCAUUUGUGAUUACAUAAUUAUUCACAUUUAUGAUUUUUCAUUAAUCCACUUUUCCAGUUUGCCCUACAUUCUUGAAUCUUGACUAUUGAUCUUAUACUUCCCCAAUUAAGUUAUGAUCAGACUGGGUAUUUAUAGUGGAACUUCAUACUGUGUUUUCAAUGUGGGUGGGUGGUUGUUUUAUUAUAGGGUGGAAAAAGGUCCGUGACUUUUUUCCAAAUAAAGUAUCAUGUCGGGUUGCUUACCUACACGUUCUGUGUAAUAUUCAAAACAAUAGAUUUACAGAUUGGUUUCGUGAAAAAUUACAAUAGUUUGAUUUGGUAUAUAUGGAUUGGUAGUCGUGAAUCAAUAUGACAUUCAUGACCUGGA